UAGGGAAUCUUCGGCAAUGGACGAAAGUCUGACCGAGCAACGCCGCGUGAGCGAUGAAGGCUUUCGGAUCGUAAAACUCUUUUGUUAGAGAAGAACAAGGACGUUAGUAACUGAACGUCCCCUGACGGCAUCUAACCAGAAAGCCAGGGCUAACUACGUGCGAGCAGCCGCGGUAAUACGUAGGUGGCAAGCGUUGUCCGGAUCUAUUGGGCGUAAAGCGAGCGCAGGCGGUUUCUUAAGUCUGAGGUGAAAGCCCCCGGCUCAACCGGGGAGGGUCAUUGGGAACUGGGAGACUUGAGUGCGGAAGAGGAGAGUGGAAUUCCAUGUGUAGCGGUGAAAUGCGUAGAUAUAUGGAGGAACACCAGUGGCGAAGGCGGCUCUCUGGUCUGUAACUGACGCUGAGGCUCGAAAGCGUGGGGAGCAAACAGG
rnacentral:rRNA from 1 species